UCAGGUCAAAAAUAACCAAUCACGGAGAUUAUUUCUCUGUUGAACUCCUGACCUGCUGGUUCUCACUGACCACUGAAACACAUCUUUACAUCUGAGAAAUAAAGUUUAGCUGCAGUGAGCUCUGAGUUUUCAGCUGCUGGGUUUAAACGUGUCUUCUUCUCCCUCACAGAGACCGCUGGAGAGAGACCCCCACCACCACAAGAGCAAACCUACAACAGAGACAUGAAGAGGGCCACUUGUGACUGGUCCCACCCCUCACACUCCUGUCUGGUUGGCAGGUUCAUUUGUGUCUGAGGGGCAGCGGUGAGCAGCAGCAGCAGCAGCAGGAAGUUCUGGCCCGACCCGGCACACAGCCACCUACAAAUCAGGAGGUUCUCAUCUGGACCCUGGGCUCCAGUGAGAGCUGAAGAUCACGGCCCGAUAUGCCAACAGAACCACAUCAUCAUCUGCAGACAUCAGAGACAGAUUCCCGAGGUCAAGAAAUAGAAUUAAAUGUCAAAAAUAAAAAUCUAGAAGUUAGAAAGAAAAAGAAACAGGUAAAUUKAUUUGAUCUGAGACGUGUGGAUCAGCUGUUUAAGUUCUUCAGUGAUUUAUGGCAGGUUGGUUUCACUUUAAAAAGGUUCUUUAACACUUUUUUAUAAAUAAACGGACAGGAUUAGGAACAGAAAGUAAAAACUAGAUUAAUUAAAAGGUUAAAUUUAAGAAUAACAUAUAAUUUACACCUUGGAGUCCUCCCAGCGGAGCUGGAAGCGGGGGCUGGGGAAAGCGAGGUCUGGGCUCAAGCUGCUGCCCCCGCGACCUAACUUCAGAUAAAGCAGAAGAUAAUGGAUGUUUAUAUAAUUUAAUGAUAUUCAUCAUCAGAUGUUGAAACAACCUGAACCACACAGAAAUACAAACAAACACUUCUCAGAAAGCAGGGGAAUUGAUUUAAGGGAAACACUUUAAAUGAGUCAUUUGGUUUGUUGUUUUUAAAAUCAGCUGGAGCUAAAUACUAACUUCUGAUGGACCAAAGUUCUUUUUAUUCGCUGAAAUAAAAUAUUAUGUUGAUUUACCAACAAUGCUU